CGUAACAAGGUAGCUGUAGGUGAACCUGCAGAUGGAUCAUA
rnacentral:rRNA from 1 species